UACAGAGGUCUCGAGCGUUGUUCGGAUUCAUUGGGCGUAAAGGGUGCGUAGGUGGUGCUGUAAGUCAGGUGUGAAAUUUCGGAGCUUAACUCCGAAACUGCAUUUGAUACUGCGGUGCUUGAGGACUGGAGAGGAGACUGGAAUUUACGGUGUAGCAGUGAAAUGCGUAGAGAUCGUAAGGAAGACCAGUGGCGAAGGCGAGUCCCUGGACGAUACCUGACACUGAGGCACGAAAGCCGGGGGAGCAAACAGG
rnacentral:rRNA from 1 species